UGGGGAAUUUUGGACAAUGGACGCAAGUCUGAUCCAGCCAUGCCGCGUUCGGGAAGAAGGCCUUCGGGUUGUAAACCGCUUUUGUCAGGGAAGAAACGAGUUUCUCUAAUACAGAGACUUAAUGACGGUACCUGAAGAAUAAGCACCGGCUAACUACGUGCCAGCAGCCGCGGUAAUACGUAGGGUGCAAGCGUUAAUCGGAAUUACUGGGCGUAAAGCGUGCGCAGGCGGUUAUAUAAGACAGAUGUGAAAUCCCCGGGCUCAACCUGGGAACUGCAUUUGUGACUGUAUAGCUAGAGUACGGCAGAGGGGGAUGGAAUUCCGCGUGUAGCAGUGAAAUGCGUAGAUAUGCGGAGGAACACCGAAGGCGAAGGCAAUCCCCUGGGCCUGUACUGACGCUCAUGCACGAAAGCGUGGGGAGCAAACA
rnacentral:rRNA from 1 species